rnacentral:misc_RNA from 1 species
GAUGAAGAACGUAGCGAAAUGCGAUACUUGGUGUGAAUUGCAGAAUCCCGUGAACCAUCGAGUCUUUGAACGCAAGUUGCGCCCGAAGCCACUAGGCCGAGGGCACGCCUGCCUGGGCGUCACACGCCGUUGCCCCCCCAUCUACUCCUUCGGGAUUGCGGGGGGGCGGAUGAUGGCCUCCUGUGCGCCUAGCCGCGCGGUUGGCAUAAAUACCAAGUCCUCGGCGACGCACGCCACGACAAUCGGUGGUUGCGAAACCUCGGUUGCCCGUCGUGUGCGUUCGUCGCGCAUCGAGGGCUCGAAAAAAUGCUCGGCUCCGGCUGGGCUUUCAACGCGACCCCAGGUCAGGCGGGGUUACCCGCUGAAUUUAAGCAUAUCAAUAAGCAGAGGA